UACGUAGGGUGCUAGCGUUGUCCGGAAUCAUUGGGCGUAAAGAGCGUGUAGGCGGUCCGGUACGUCCGCUGUGAAAGUCGGGGGCUCAACCCUCGAAUGCCGGUGGAUACUGUCGGGCUAGAGUGCGGAAGAGGCGAGUGGAAUUCCUGGUGUAGCGGUGAAAUUCGCAGAUAUCAGGAGGAACACCUAUGGCGAAGGCAGCUCGCUGGGACGUAACUGACGCUGAGACGCGAAAGCGUGGGGAGCGAACAGG
rnacentral:rRNA from 1 species